rnacentral:rRNA from 1 species
AGAGUUUGAUCCUGGCUCAGGAUGAACGCUAGCGGCAGGCUUAACACAUGCAAGUCGAGGGGCAGCAGUACCGCUUCGGUGGUAGCUGGCGACCGGCGCACGGGUGAGUAACGCGUAUGGAACCUGCCUACAACAGGGGUAUAGCCUUCGGAAACGAGGGUUAAUCCCCCAUAAAGUUUACCGGUGGCCUCACCGGUAUAUUAAAGCCACGGCGGUUGUAGAUGGCCAUGCGUACCAUUAGUUAGUUGGUAAGGUAAAGGCUUACCAAGGCGGCGAUGGUUAGGGGUCCUGAGAGGGUAGUCCCCCACACUGGUACUGAGACACGGACCAGACUCCUACGGGAGGCAGCAGUGAGGAAUAUUGGUCAAUGGGCGCUAGCCUGAACCAGCCAUGCCGCGUGCAGGAAGACGGCCCUACGGGUUGUAAACUGCUUUUCUGCGGGAAGAAUACCGUGUAUUCGUUACAGGGUUGACGGUACCGCAGGAAUAAGCACCGGCUAACUCCGUGCCAGCAGCCGCGGUAAUACGGAGGAUGCAAGCGUUAUCCGGAUUCAUUGGGUUUAAAGGGUGCGUAGGCGGUGUAGCAAGUCAGUGGUGAAAGCCCGGAGCUUAACUCCGGGAUUGCCAUUGAAACUGUUGCACUAGAGUGUAGUCGAGGACGGCGGAAUGAGUUGUGUAGCGGUGAAAUGCGUAG